rnacentral:rRNA from 1 species
CUCAAAUGAAUUGACGGGGGCCCGCACAAGCGGAGGAGCAUGUGGUUUAAUUCGAUGAUACGCGAGGAACCUUACCAGGGCUUAAAUGGGAGACGACAGUUUGGGAAACCAGAUUUUCUUCGGACGUCUUUCAAGGUGCUGCAUGGUUGUCGUCAGCUCGUGCCGUGAGGUGUCAGGUUAAGUCCUAUAACGAGCGCAACCCCUAUUGUUAGUUGCCAGCGGGUCAUGCCGGGAACUCUAACAAGACUGCCGGUGCAAACCGUGAGGAAGGUGGGGAUGACGUCAAAUCAUCACGGCCCUUACGUCCUGGGCUACACACGUGCUACAAUGGACGGUACAGAGAGCAGCCACUGCGCAAGCAGGAGCGAAUCUUCAAAGCCGUUCUCAGUUCGGAUCGGAGUCUGCAACUCGACUCCGUGAAGCUGGAUUCGCUAGUAAUCGCAUAUCAGCCAUGAUGCGGUGAAUACGUUCCCGGGCCUUGUACACACCGCCCGUCAAGCCAUGGAAGCUGGGGGUACCUGAAGUCGGUGACCGCAAGGAGCUGCCUAGG